GCGGCGGACGGGUGAGUAAUGCAUAGGAAUCUGCCCGAUAGUGGGGGAUAACCUGGGGAAACUCAGGCUAAUACCGCAUACGUCCUACGGGAGAAAGCAGGGGAUCUUCGGACCUUGCGCUAUCGGAUGAGCCUAUGUCGGAUUAGCUAGUUGGUGAGGUAACGGCUCACCAAGGCGACGAUCCGUAGCUGGUCUGAGAGGAUGAUCAGCCACACUGGGACUGAGACACGGCCCAGACUCCUACGGGAGGCAGCAGUGGGGAAUAUUGGACAAUGGGGGAAACCCUGAUCCAGCCAUGCCGCGUGUGUGAAGAAGGCCUUCGGGUUGUAAAGCACUUUCAGCGAGGAAGAAGGCCUGAGGGCUAAUACCCUUCAGGAAGGACAUCACUCGCAGAAGAAGCACCGGCUAACUCCGUGCCAGCAGCCGCGGUAAUACGGAGGGUGCGAGCGUUAAUCGGAAUUACUGGGCGUAAAGCGCGCGUAGGUGGCUUGAUAAGCCGGUUGUGAAAGCCCCGGGCUCAACCUGGGAACGGCAUCCGGAACUGUCAGGCUAGAGUGCAGGAGAGGAAGGUAGAAUUCCCGGUGUAGCGGUGAAAUGCGUAGAGAUCGGGAGGAAUACCAGUGGCGAAGGCGGCCUUCUGGACUGACACUGACACUGAGGUGCGAAAGCGUGGGUAGCAAACAGGAUUAGAUACCCUGGUAGUCCACGCCGUAAACGAUGUCGACUAGCCGUUGGGGUCCU
rnacentral:rRNA from 1 species